rnacentral:rRNA from 1 species
GCGAUUCGCCCUUCGGGGCGCAGCAGGCGCGAAAACUUUACAAUGCGGGAAACCGUGAUAAGGGGACACCGAGUGCCAGCAUCAUAUGCUGGCUGUCCGGGUGUGUAAAAUACACCCGUUAGCAAGGGCCGGGCAAGACCGGUGCCAGCCGCCGCGGUAACACCGGCGGCCCGAGUGGUGAUCGUGAUUAUUGGGUCUAAAGGGUCCGUAGCCGGUUUGGUCAGUCCUCCGGGAAAUCUGACGGCUUAACCGUUAGGCUUUCGGGGGAUACUGCCAGGCUUGGAACCGGGAGAGGUAAGGGGUACUACAGGGGUAGGAGUGAAAUCUUGUAAUCCCUGUGAGACCACCUGUGGCGAAGGCGUCUUACCAGAACGGGUUCGACGGUGAGGGACGAAAGCUGGGGGCACGAACCGGAUUAGAUACCCGGGUAGUCCCAGCCGUAAACGAUGCUCGCUAGGUGUCAGGCAUGGCGCGACCGUGUCUGGUGCCGCAGGGAAGCCGUGAAGCGAGCCACCUGGGAAGUACGGCCGCAAGGCUGAAACUUAAAGGAAUUGGCGGGGGAGCAC